rnacentral:rRNA from 1 species
ACUCCUAUGGGAGGCAGCAGUAGGGAAUCUUCCACAAUGGACGAAAGUCUGAUGGAGCAACGCCGCGUGAGCGAAGAAGGCCUUCGGGUCGUAAAGCUCUGUUGUCAGGGAAGAACAAGUACCGGAGUAACUGCCGGUACCUUGACGGUACCUGACCAGAAAGCCACGGCUAACUACGUGCCAGCAGCCGCGGUAAU